GUUAUAUAAAAUGUUUCUGACACGCACCUCUCUUUUUCGUCUUCACAUUGUUCUCUUCUGUCUCUGUUCUCCUCAUCUUUUCAGCCCUUUUCUGCUCCUUAGGCUGGGGCUCGGGUCCUUCAGGAGGAGCAUCCAUCCUUUUCCUCUUCAAAGGAUUCACCUUGCUUACUCUUCUAUUGAUAGAGCAGGAUGCCUCUACACAGGUUGCUGUCCUUUCAGUCUUCACAUCCUUCUCUUUUGUCUCUCUUCUCCUAUUUUUAACUGGCUUCUCCUUGGGCUGGAGUUCAGGUUGUUCAAGAGCAAGAUCCAUCCUUUCCUCUUCAAAGGAUUCACCUUGCUUACUCUUCUAUUGACAGGGCAGGGUGCCUCUACACAGGUCUCUGUCUUUCAGUCUUCACAUCCUUCUCUUCUGUCAUUCUUCUCCUCUUUUUAACUGGCUUCUCCUUGAUCUGGAGUUCAAGUUGUUCAGGAGCAAGAUCCAUCCUUUUCUUCUUCAAAGGAUUCACCUUGCUUACUCUUCUAUUGACAGGGCAGGGUGCCUCUACACAGGUCUCUGUCUUUUCAGUCUUCACAUCCUUCUCUUCUGUCGUUC
ensembl:lncRNA